GGCGGAGUAGCUCAGUUGGCAGAGCAGGCGGCUCAUACCCGCUACGUCGUGGGUUCGACUCCCACCCCCGCCACCA
rnacentral:tRNA from 1 species